rnacentral:rRNA from 1 species
GAUGAACGCUGGCGGCGUGCCUAAUACAUGCAAGUCGAGCGAACAGACGAGGAGCUUGCUCCUCUGACGUUAGCGGCGGACGGGUGAGUAACACGUGGAUAACCUACCUAUAAGACUGGGAUAACUACGGGAAACCGGAGCUAAUACCGGAUAAUAUAUUGAACCGCAUGGUUCAAUAGUGAAAGACGGUUUUGCUUUCACUUAUAGAUGGAUCCGCGCCGCAUUAGCUAGUUGGUAAGGUAACGGCUUACCAAGGCAACGAUGCGUAGCCGACCUGAGAGGGUGAUCGGCCACACUGGAACUGAGACACGGUCCAGACUCCUACGGGAGGCAGCAGUAGGGAAUCUUCCGCAAUGGGCGAAAGCCUGACGGAGCAACGCCGCGUGAGUGAUGAAGGUCUUCGGAUCGUAAAACUCUGUUAUUAGGGAAGAACAAAUGUGUAAGUAACUAUGCACGUCUUGACGGUACCUAAUCAGAAAGCCACGGCUAACUACGUG